rnacentral:rRNA from 1 species
AUGCAGGACCCUAAUCCGCCAUAUUGGUGCAAAUUUAAAGGCCGUCAGAAAAUUUCCGGCUUAAAGAGAAGGAUUCUGAUUCAAAAUCCGGUUCAAGGUAAACCUGUCUCCCACAAAGCUUUGAAGCUCUCAAUAUCCGGUUCGAAAUUCCGGUUAAAAAGAAUUCAUCUCUCGCAAGUUCGAGUUCUCAGAAAAAAUUACAGGGACCAAAGAGAGUUUGUUGCACAGCACAACUCAAACAUAGGCACCCGGCGAGCACAGCUCAGAAAUAUAUCACUUGGGGGCUUCCGGCUUAUCGAGCUAAGCUAUGAUUACCCUUUGAUCCGGCUUAUACUCCAUGUUUACAAAAACACUUGGGGGCUUACUACCCAGGUUAAAGGGACCAAAGAGAGUCUGUUGCAAAAGCACGACUCAAACAUAGGCGCCCAUUGA